rnacentral:rRNA from 1 species
AUUGAACGCUGGCGGAAUGCUUUACACAUGCAAGUCGAACGGCAGCACGGACUUCGGUCUGGUGGCGAGUGGCGAACGGGUGAGUAAUGUAUCGGAACGUGCCCAGUCGUGGGGGAUAACGUAGUGAAAAUUACGCUAAUACCGCAUACGAUCUAUGGAUGAAAGCGGGGGAUCGCAAGACCUCGCGCGACUUGAGCGGCCGAUAUCAGAUUAGGUAGUUGGUGGGGUAAAGGCCCACCAAGCCAACGAUCUGUAGCUGGUCUGAGAGGACGACCAGCCACACUGGAACUGAGACACGGUCCAGACUCCUACGGGAGGCAGCAGUGGGGAAUUUUGGACAAUGGGCGAAAGCCUGAUCCAGCCAUUCCGCGUGCAGGAUGAAGGCCCUCGGGUUGUAAACUGCUUUUGUACAGAACGAAAAGGUUUCUACUAAUACUAGGAGCUCAUGACGGUACUGUAAGAAUAAGCACCGGCUAACUACGUGCCAGCCGCCGCAGUAA